rnacentral:rRNA from 1 species
UACGUAGGGUGCAAGCGUUGUCCGGAAUUAUUGGGCGUAAAGAGCUCGUAGGUGGCGGGUCACGUCGGGUGUGAAAGCCCGGGGCUUAACCCCGGGUCUGCAUUCGAUACGGGUCUGCUGGGGUCCGGCAGGGGAGACUGGAAUUCCUGGUGUAGCGGUGAAAUGCGCAGAUAUCAGGAGGAACACCGGUGGCGAAGGCGGGUCUCUGGGCCGGCACCGACGCUGAGGAGCGAAAGCGUGGGGAGCGAACAGG